rnacentral:tRNA from 1 species
GGGACAGUGGCUCAGUGGUAGAGCGCUUGUCUUGCAUGCAUGAGGCCCUGGGUUCAAUUCCUCAGCACCA